UACGUAGGGGGCAAGCGUUGUCCGGAUUUAUUGGGCGUAAAGAGCGUGUAGGCGGCCAGACAGGUCUGCUGUGAAAACUCGAGGCUCAACCUCGAGACGCCGGUGGAAACCGUUUGGCUAGAGUCCGGAAGAGGAGAGUGGAAUUCCUGGUGUAGCGGUGAAAUGCGCAGAUAUCGGGAAGAACACCCGUGGCGAAGGCGGCUCUCUGGGACGGUACUGACGCUGAGGCGCGACAGCGUGGGGAGCAAACAGG
rnacentral:rRNA from 1 species